CUGAUUAUUGUCACUUUGGAUAUAUAAUAUUUGAUUCAAUUGCUACAUGAACUUGUUUAGUGCCUCUGUUUCUGUGUGGAUAAAUGGGGCUACGUGUCUCAUAAUGUUCAGAAAUGCAUUGAAAGAAUAUUUGGUGAACACAACAUUUCAUGGUCUGCGAUUCAUUGCCCAAAAGGAAAGAACUUGGGUAGAAAGGUUAUUUUGGCUGGUCUGUGUUCUGUUGUCUUGGUAUGGCUCACUGUACCUCAUCAGACAAUCUUGGACCACUUUCCAGAACAACCCAAUCAACUUUGGUGUCGAGACUACAUAUCUUGAAUGGAACACUCAGUUCCCUUCUGUUGUGGUCUGCGAAGUUCUGAACGUAAACAUCGUUGCUGCUCAUACUGAAAAGUUAUUUUCUAACAUUUAUGAUGAAGAUGAUCCACUAUAUGAUCGGAGGUUCGAUAUAGAAGAAGUCUUUGGUGAGCUAGCUUUUUAUGAAGGCUCUUCAUAUAACCUACUUAAGGCCUGUAUCCCUGCCAAUAAAUAUGGUACUGAAACUGGAUGUCCCACAGGCAACUAUAGUGAAAUUGCUAACUUGUUCCGAAUGAACUGCGCAGACUUGUUCCAUUUCUGUAGAUGGAAUGACAAGCCAUUUGACUGCUGCAAGUAUUUCCUGCCACUGGAAACUGAAUAUGGAAUGUGUUAUGCCAUUAACAAUCUUAAUACCAGGAUACAGAGACACUUUGAAAUGAUAUCUAACCAAAGCACUGGACCUGGUUUCAUAUAUCUACAGUUCAAUACACAUGCCACGGUGUAUGUGCUGUCAGAAGAAGAUGUUCCUCACUUCAGUAUACAAGAAACUGACAAAAUUAAUACGGUAUAUGGAUUUGCAGAAGAAUUCUACAUUAAAAUAAACAGAAUCUCAAAUCAAGAAGAAGUGCAUGAUGUAGAUAUUCCCAAACGCAGUUGUCGCUUUCCUAAUGAGAAUUACAUCAAUAUUUAUCCGGUGUACUCAGUUUCUGCCUGCCUAGUGAACUGCCGCAGGAAUCUGCAACUUCAGCUGUGCAAUUGCACCAGUUACUACAUGCCCAAUGGAGAUCCAAAGCUGUACUGUGACAUAAAUGGUCUAUUUUGUCUGGAGGGACAUAUCAAUACUUUUAUUCAACAAAAGGUAUCAGAAAACUCAACUGCAGUGGGAUACUAUUGCCAUUGUGUGGAUGGUUGUGAGAGCAUGACUAUAGAAUAUGUUCGAUGGGUUCGAGAAAUGCAUCAGUUGAGUCCAAGUGGUAAAUCUGAGCUGAAGGUAAUACUGGAUCACCUACCCACAGAAUUGUUUAAGAGGACAGUUGUCAGAGGAAAGCUUGACCUAGUUGUAUCAAUGGGUGGAGCCACUGGUUUGUUCGUUGGUGCAAGUCUACUCAGCUUCAUCGAGUUGGUCUAUUACUUCACAUUAAGGCUGUUUGUGACAGUAAAGUACAUGAAAAACAAGCACAGACCCAAUGAUGUGGCACCACAACAAGCACAGGUAAUGAACUCCAUGGAGCCACAAAACACAGGACUGAAGAAAUAUCCGCAAGGUUUCUUGCAUCGGCCCUCUCACAAACUUUAUUACCGCUCAGUAAACCAUAUGUAAAUUCAAAUGAGUUCAGUUUUGAUGUGGUAUGUGUAUUGAACGAAACUUCUAGUUCCAUAAGAGACGGGUCAGAAAAUUUUUUGGCUUCUUAGCUACCAUCUGCUAUUGCCUUUUGAGGAAGGACUUCAUUAAUAUUCGGAAAUAGAAAACCAAUGGCCAGUCUAUAAAUACAAAAUUCAAUACAAUUUAAAUUGUUAGAAAUAAUUUAUUGAAACGCAUGACUGGCCUCCCAUUUAUCUAUGAAAGAAAACACUUCUACAUACUCACCUGCCUGUCCACAUCAAUGCAGGAAACAAAGUGAAAGGAUGCCUUUCUCUUGAAAAACCACUAUAAACUUAUUGGCUUAUUUAAAAGAAGUGGGGAUGGGGAGAGUGAAAGGUGGGGGGCGGUGGAAAGAAGGGGCCAUAGAUAACAUACCUGGAAGGGACUGUGGGCCCAGAAGAAGCGAAAUUACGAGUACAUACAAUCUGCCUACAAAGUUCCGUUCCUAUCUUUAUACAAGCAUCCCAAAAAUAUGUAUACAUACAAGGUUAAACUUCAUAUUAUAAUUGGGACAUUCUAUAUUUGUGUCUAAUUUCCGUUACUUCUAGCUUGUGGACGAGCAUAUUGUUGUGGUUGAAACUAAAAAUAAUCUUUUUCUUUUUCCGUCACACUCAACAAAAACCUAAAGCCAAACAAUAAAAGUACGUUUAAUUAAAUUCCUGGGAAUGUAGACAGUUUGAAUGGCCAAAUGUUUUCGCCAUCCUCAUGCAACGCAGAACAUACAGCUUGGCUUAUGAAGAUGCAAGCGUCUGGUACCCUGAGAAGAAUCACAUCAUACACAUACUCCAUAAAUUUAAUACAAUGCAAUAUGAUAUUUAGACAAUGACAAGAUAAACAUUAAAAUGAUUAUGAAUUUUGACAUGUUUUAAUCUGGAUGAAGCCAUUUCAUUGGUAUAUUGUGCAGCAAUAAUGGUUGGGUUUCUUGAUAUCGCAUCCCGAGCAUGAAUAGAUCUGAAAUGUGGUGCUGGGACCUUAAAAUUGAGUUGUAUGUUUUUUAUCUCCCCCAUCCGCACCACAAAUUCCACCCAUCUCAUUCCAUUGAUUUGAUCGUCUUUAUACAAUCAACAGUACUCACGAGUGAUAUGAGAUUGUGGCAGAACUACAGGUUAAGACGUGCCUUUGCAAAGAUAUGCAAGACUGUGCAGUUUCAUAGAUUAUACUCUCCUACAAAUUUCCUUCUUCAGCUCAACCUGCUGAAAUAUUUAGUUCAAGGGCAGAAUAUUUUUUCUGCACAAAUCAACGUAUAACUGAUUAUACUUAAAAGCAGUUUUCAGCCAUUGGCUACUUCAAAGUUUACAACUUUGUCGGAACCUAAUACAACAGUAAAUCUCGAUGGAUGUCAUUAUCACAUAACUAGACAUGGGAUUUUAUUCCUGAUGGAGGCUCAGAUGUUUGCUUCCUAGAACCACCCCUACUAAUGCAGCCAUCAGUCCUGGACCAUGUAGCCCUCUAGUGCUGAAUUAAGAACUGCUAACUCAUCAACCUGAUGGAGACACUAAACUCCGAAUUCACUAUGGGGCCCUCAAGUUACUGCAAUCUAUCAUCAUAUUUUGCACUUUUUACCACAAUCUGUGGAAAAGUAUUAAAUUGUUAAAAAUUUAAUUCAGACUUUGUGUGGUCCCAUGCAUACAUUUUAUUAGAUUUGGAUGGGCAUGUGACCGAAUUUUGACUUAAUUACCAACAUUACAGGUACUGGAACACUGUGGUGGUGCUUAUAUUGUUCUCCAGUGUGCUUGCCUCCGUUGUAAUAAAGUUAUGCUGAGUCACAAUCUGGACAGCAGAUUGUCAUUUGUGGGAAGCAUGCAGAAAUAGGUGGCCUACACUGCAUGCUUUAUUUCAUGCAGUUUUUCAGCAUUUUCUCUGAUGGCAUUACCAUGUACUUUAUGUUUCAUGUAUGUUUCUUUCUUACUUCAUAAUAAACUCUAUUUGUUCCAAUAACUUUAAAUUGUAACAUAAAAGCACAUUUUGAACACAUAUAUAUGAAGAUAUAAUAUAUAAUUCUAUUAAACAAAUAAGCAUGUUUGUCACAGUGUUCUGCCAGUCUGUGAACGAGGAAAAGUGUACAAAGACAGUUGUCUUCUC